UACGGGGGGGCAAGGCGUUGUUCGGAAUUACUGGGCGUAAAGGGCGCGUAGGCGGCCUGCUAAGCUCGGAUGUGAAAUCCCAUCGGGCUCAACCUGAUGAUGCCGCUGGAAACGUGUCUGGCUUGAGUCCGGAAGGGGCGAGUGGAAUUCUCGGUGUAGCGGUGAAAUGCGUAGAUAUCGAGAGGAACACCUGCGGCGAAGGCGGGUUGCUGGGCUGAUACUGACGCUGGAGGCGCGAAAGCCAGGGGAGCGAACGGG
rnacentral:rRNA from 1 species